rnacentral:lncRNA from 10 species
GGUCUCGAACUCCUGACCUCAAAUGAUCCGCCCACCUCAGCCUCCCAAAGUGCUGGGAUUACAGGCGUGAGCCGCCGCACCCGGCCUCACCUGGCUAAUUUUUAAAAAUCUUUUGUAGAGAUGGAGGUCUUGCUAUAUUGCUUGGGCUGAUCUGAAACUCCUGGCCUCAAGCAGUCCUCUUGCCUCCACCUUCCAAAGUACUGGGAUUACACGUAUGAGCCACCUGUAAUUAAAUGCAGAUAUUUAAUUAAUCAAAUAUGACUAAUUACUUAAAUAUUUAAUUAAUUAAAAAUGCAUAUUUAAUUACCCACGAUGAUGGAACACUUGAUCUUAGCCAAAACGCUGAGUAGUGGUAACUAUCCACAGUGAUAAAUGCCAUCUAGGAAUAUUCCGAGGGACAAUGGCAGAGGAUGCGACGGAAUCGUGACAUGGUCUAGGGAAGGGUAGGGGUUCUGCAGAAGGGAUGUGAGGAAGAUGAAGAGAAAUUAGCCAUAGUUGGGGUGAGGGCCACUCACCAAGGUGAGUAGCUCAUGCAACGGCCCUGAGGCCAUUAGGUAUGAGUGGGAGGAUCCCCAGGAGUGAGAAGGCC